AAAAAUUGAUACUAAACUGGGGUGUCAUGUCAGAUGUAAGGAGGGCCAAGUUAAAGCUAUAUGUGUUUAUAUAUUUCUCUGGGGAUUGAAUUAGAAACAGGAAAAGAAAAGAAAGAGCAGAACUGCUAACUUUUGUGCGAAGCAUGCAGUAGGGGAGAGAGACAUAAAAAAGUUGAAUGAAUCAAUGUCAGAAUUUCAG
rnacentral:lncRNA from 1 species